rnacentral:rRNA from 1 species
GUUUGAUCCUGACUCAGAACGAACGCUGGCGGCGUGCCUAACACAUGCAAGUCCAACGUGAAAGGGGAGCAAUCCCCCGGUAGGGUGGCAAACGGGUGAGUAAUACAUGGGUGAUCUACCUUAGGGAUGGGGAUAUCCUUCCGAAAGGAGGGGCAAUACCGAAUAUUGUCCGGGACCGUGAAGGGUUUCGGGGAAAGGGAGGCCUCUGACACAAGCUUUCGCCUUAAGAUGAGCCCAUGGCCCAUCAGCUAGUUGGUAGGGUAAAGGCCUACCAAGGCUACGACGGGUCGCUGGUCUGAGAGGACGACCAGCCACACUGGCACUGAGAUACGGGCCAGACUCCUACGGGAGGCAGCAGUGAGGAAUAUUGCGCAAUGGGGGAAACCCUGACGCAGCAACGCCGCGUGUGGGAAGAAGGCCUUCGGGUCGUAAACCACUUUUACUCGGGACGAAAAAGGGAUAUCAAACAAAUAUCCCCGAUGACGGUACCGUGAGAAUAAGCCACGGCUAACUCUGUGCCAGCAGCCGCGGUAAGACAGAGGUGGCAAGCGUUGUUCGGAAUUACUGGGCGUAAAGAGUCUGUAGGUGGUUUGUCGAGUCUUUGGUGAAAGGCCGU